rnacentral:rRNA from 1 species
GAUGAACGCUGGCGGCGUGCCUAAUACAUGCAAGUCGAGCGAACAGACGAGGAGCUUGCUCCUCUGACGUUAGCGGCGGACGGGUGAGUCACACGUGGAUAACCUACCUAUCAGACUGGGAUAACUUCGGGAAACCGGCGCUAAUACCGGAUAACAUGUUGAACCGCAUGGUUCAACAGUGAAAGUCGGUUUUGCUGUCUCUUCUAGCUGGAUCCGCGUCGCAUUAGCUAGUUGGUACGGUAACGGCUUACCAAGGCAACGAUGCGUAGCCGACCUGAGAGGGUGAUCGGCCACACUGGAACUGAGCCACGGUCCAGAGGCCUACGGGAGGCAGCAGUAGGGAAUCGUCCGCAAUGGGCGAAAGCCUGACGGAGCAACGCCGAGUGAGUGAAGAAGGUCUUCGGAUCGUAAAACUCUGUUAUUAGGGAAGAACAAAUGUGUAAGUAACUAUGCACGUCUUGACGGUACCUAAUCAGAAAGCCACGGCUAACUACGUG